CAGCAGCCACGGGAAAACGUAGGGGGCAAGCGUUGUCCGGAAUUACUGGGCGUAAAGCGUGCGUAGGCGGUUUGUUAAGUCUGCUGUGAAAUCCCCGGGCUCAACCUGGGAAUGGCAGUGGAUACUGGCAAGCUAGAGUGUGUCAGAGGAUGGUGGAAUUCCCGGUGUAGCGGUGAAAUGCGUAGAGAUCGGGAGGAACAUCAGUGGCGAAGGCGGCCAUCUGGGACAACACUGACGCUGAGGCACGAAAGCGUGGGGAGCAAACAGGAUUAGAUACCCCCGUAGUCCCUGUCUCUUAUAC
rnacentral:rRNA from 1 species